UGCGUAGGCGGGUCUUUAAGUCGGGGGUGAAAUCCUGGAGCUCAACUCCAGAACUGCCUUUGAUACUGAAGAUCUUGAGUCCGGGAGAGGUGAGUGGAACUGCGAGUGUAGAGGUGAAAUUCGUAGAUAUUCGCAAGAACACCAGUGGCGAAGGCGGCUCACUGGCCCGGUACUGACGCUGAGGCACGAAAGCGUGGGGAGCAAACA
rnacentral:rRNA from 1 species